UACGUAGGGGGCAAGCGUUGUCCGGAUUUAUUGGGCGUAAAGAGCGUGUAGGCGGCCAGACAGGUCCGCUGUGAAAACUCGAGGCUCAACCUCGAGAUGUCGGUGGAAACCGUCUGGCUAGAGUCCGGAAGAGGAGAGUGGAAUUCCCGGUGUAGCGGUGAAAUGCGCAGAUAUCGGGAAGAACACCCGUGGCGAAGGCGGUUCUCUGGGACGGUACUGACGCUGAGACGCGAAAGCGUGGGGAGCGAACAGG
rnacentral:rRNA from 1 species